rnacentral:rRNA from 1 species
CCUACGGGAGGCAGCAGUGGGGAAUUUUGGACAAUGGGCGAAAGCCUGAUCCAGCAAUGCCGCGUGAGUGAAGAAGGCCUUCGGGUUGUAAAGCUCUUUUGUCAGGGAAGAAACGGUGCGGGCUAAUAUCCUGCACUAAUGACGGUACCUGAAGAAUAAGCACCGGCUAACUACGUGCCAGCAGCCGCGGUAAUACGUAGGGUGCAAGCGUUAAUCGGAAUUACUGGGCGUAAAGCGUGCGCAGGCGGUUUUGUAAGUCUGUCGUGAAAUCCCCGGGCUCAACCUGGGAAUUGCGAUGGAGACUGCAAGGCUAGAAUCUGGCAGAGGGGGGUAGAAUUCCACGUGUAGCAGUGAAAUGCGUAGAGAUGUGGAGGAACACCGAGGGCGAAGGCAGCCCCCUGGGUCAAGAUUGACGCUCAUGCACGAAAGCGUGGGGAGCAAACAGGAUUAGAUACCCUGGUAGUCCACGCCCUAAACGAUGUCUACUAGUUGUCGGGUUUUAAUUAACUUGGUAACGCAGCUAACGCGUGAAGUAGACCGCCUGGGGAGUACGGUCGCAAGAUUAAAACUCAAAUGAAUUGACGG